rnacentral:rRNA from 1 species
UAGAGUUUGAUCCUGGCUCAGGACGAACGCUGGCGGCGUGCCUAACACAUGCAAGUCGAGCGAUGAAGUUCCUUCGGGAAUGGAUUAGCGGCGGACGGGUGAGUAACACGUGGGCAACCUGCCUCAAAGUGGGGGAUAGCCUCCCGAAAGGGAGAUUAAUACCGCAUAACAUUAUCUCUUUGCAUGAAGAGAUAAUCAAAGGAGCAAUCCGCUUUGAGAUGGGCCCGCGGCGCAUUAGCUAGUUGGUGAGGUAACGGCUCACCAAGGCGACGAUGCGUAGCCGACCUGAGAGGGUGAUCGGCCACAUUGGAACUGAGAUACGGUCCAGACUCCUACGGGAGGCAGCAGUGGGGAAUAUUGCGCAAUGGGGGAAACCCUGACGCAGCAACGCCGCGUGAGUGAUGAAGGUCUUCGGAUUGUAAAACUCUGUCUUUGGGGACGAUAAUGACGGUACCCAAGGAGGAAGCCACGGCUAACUACGUGCCAGCAGCCGCGGUAAUACGUAGGUGGCAAGCGUUGUCCGGAUUUACUGGGCGUAAAGAGUAUGUAGGCGGACAUUUAAGUCAGAUGUGAAAUCCCCGGGCUUAACCUGGGAGCUGCAUUUGAUACUGGGUGUCUAGAGUGUAGGAGAGGAAAGUGGAAUUCCUAGUGUAGCGGUGAAAUGCGUAGAGAUUAGGAAGAACACCAGUGGCGAAGGCGACUUUCUGGACUAUAACUGACGCUGAGAUACGAAAGCGUGGGGAGCAAACAGGAUUAGAUACCCUGGUAGUCNNNGCCG